GAAAUUCCGUCGGAAUCUGGGAGGACCAUCUCCUAAGGCUAAAUACUCUCUAGUGACCGAUAGUGAACCAGUACCGUGAGGGAAAGGUGAAAAGCACCCCGGAAGGGGAGUGAAAUAGAACCUGAAACCGUGUGCUUACAAGUAGUCAGAGCCCGUUAAUGGGUGAUGGCGUGCCUUUUGUAGAAUGAACCGGCGAGUUACGAUUUGAUGCAAGGUUAAGCAGUAAAUGUGGAGCCGUAGCGAAAGCGAGUCUGAAUAGGGCGUUUAGUAUUUGGUCGUAGACCCGAAACCAGGUGAUCUACCCUUGGUCAGGUUGAAGUUCAGGUAACACUGAAUGGAGGACCGAACCGACUUACGUUGAAAAGUGAGCGGAUGAACUGAGGGUAGCGGAGAAAUUCCAAUCGAACCUGGAGAUAGCUGGUUCUCUCCGAAAUAGCUUUAGGGCUAGCCUCAAGUGAUGAUUAUUGGAGGUAGAGCACUGUUUGGACGAGGGGCCCCUCUCGGGUUACCGAAUUCAGACAAACUCCGAAUGCCAAUUAAUUUAACUUGGGAGUCAGAACAUGGGUGAUAAGGUCCGUGUUCGAAAGGGAAACAGCCCAGACCACCAGCUAAGGUCCCAAAAUAUAUGUUAAGUGGAAAAGGAUGUGGCGUUGCCCAGACAACUAGGAUGUUGGCUUAGAAGCAGCCAUCAUUUAAAGAGUGCGUAAUAGCUCACUAGUCGAGUGACACUGCGCCGAAAAUGUACCGGGGCUAAACAUAUUACCGAAGCUGUGGAUUGUCCUUUGGACAAUGGUAGGAGAGCGUUCUAAGGGCGUUGAAGCAUGAUCGUAAGGACAUGUGGAGCGCUUAGAAGUGAGAAUGCCGGUGUGAGUAGCGAAAGACGGGUGAGAAUCCCGUCCACCGAUUGACUAAGGUUUCCAGAGGAAGGCUCGUCCGCUCUGGGUUAGUCGGGUCCUAAGCUGAGGCCGACAGGCGUAGGCGAUGGAUAACAGGUUGAUAUUCCUGUACCACCUAUA
rnacentral:rRNA from 1 species